CCCCAGAUUCCUACGGGAGGCAGCAGUGAGGAAUAUUGGUCAAUGGACGAGAGUCUGAACCAGCCAAGUAGCGUGAAGGAUGACUGCCCUAUGGGUUGUAAACUUCUUUUAUAUAGGAAUAAAACAGGGUAUACAUACCCUCUUGUAUGUACCAUAUGAAUAAGGAUCGGCUAACUCCGUGCCAGCAGCCGCGGUAAUACGGAGGAUGCGAGCGUUAUCCGGAUUUAUUGGGUUUAAAGGGUGCGCAGGCGGAAUGUCAAGUCAGCGGUAAAAUUUCGGGGCUCAACCCCGUCGUGCCGUUGAAACUGGCGUUCUUGAGUGAGCGAGAAGUAUGCGGAAUGCGUGGUGUAGCGGUGAAAUGCAUAGAUAUCACGCAGAACUCCGAUUGCGAAGGCAGCAUACCGGCGCUCAACUGACGCUCAUGCACGAAAGCGUGGGUAUCGAACAGGAUUAGAUACCCCAGUA
rnacentral:rRNA from 1 species